GUGCCGGGACAGGGCGUGUUCCUCGUUCGGGUGCUCGUUUUGCACAGACCGAGUGGAGUGCAUCUCUCGCCGCCGGAGUGAGCCCUGCAGAAGCCUGUUGUUCCCACGCGCAGCCUGUUAGGUGCAGCCCUCCGCAGUCAUGUCCAAGUCUCUGAAAAAGUUGGUGGAGGAGAGCCGGGAGAAGAACCAGCCGGAAGUGGACAUGAGUGACCGGGGCAUCUCCAACAUGCUGGACGUCAACGGCUUGUUCACCCUGUCCCACAUCACACAGCUGGUCCUCAGCCACAACAAGCUAACGACUGUGCCGCCAAACAUAGCAGAACUGAAGAAUUUGGAAGUGCUUAACUUUUUUAAUAACCAGAUUGAGGAGCUGCCCACGCAGAUCAGCAGCCUUCAGAAACUCAAACACCUGAACCUGGGCAUGAAUAGACUCAACACUCUGCCUCGAGGAUUUGGAUCGCUCCCAGCUCUGGAGGUCCUUGAUUUGACUUACAACAACUUGAAUGAAAAUUCUCUCCCCGGAAACUUCUUCUACCUGACCACCCUGCGCGCACUCUAUCUAAGUGACAACGAUUUUGAAAUCCUGCCGCCUGAUAUUGGGAAACUCACAAAGUUGCAGAUACUCAGCCUUAGGGAUAAUGACCUGAUCUCGCUGCCUAAGGAAAUCGGGGAGCUUACUCAGCUUAAGGAGCUCCACAUUCAGGGGAACCGUCUGACUGUUCUGCCCCCGGAACUAGGAAACUUGGAUUUAACUGGUCAGAAGCAGAUAUUCAAAGCAGAGAACAACCCCUGGGUUACCCCCAUUGCUGACCAAUUCCAGCUUGGUGUGUCCCAUGUUUUUGAAUACAUCCGCUCUGAGACGUACAAAUACAGCUGCCUUGAGUAUGCAGAAUACAAAAGAAGUGAAGUCCGCAAGUCCCCGCCCUCAGGAAAAUGGUAGGCUGUUGAAGAGGGCAGAACUGAGAAAUCCAGAAAGAUGGGAGACAAGAUAACUCCGCGCCUAAAGAGUUUGAACUUUGGAGCUGUUGCCUGGGUUUGAUCCAGACCUUUUGCUAAGCCUCAGUUCCUUCAUUUGCAAAGAUAAUAAGAUAAAUCCAACUACCUUGGCUUGUUGUGACAGUGAAUGCUGAUUGCAUGGUUACCAUAUCCACCAGGUGCCCUGAUCCAGGUGCUCUACUGGUACUUGGAAGUAACAGCCGAGAGCAGAAAUCACUUUGUAUCUUAUGAAGGACUUAAUGAUGAAAUCCCAAUAAACCCUCUAGUAUUUGGCGAAGGCGGAAAUUGGACCGGGGCGGGCGGCAGGGCAGAGAGAGCUGUGAAAGGCUGAAAGAUGUGGCUGCGAUCUGAGCUACAGAGAGGGUGGAGGCUAGGCGUUUCAGGCAGUAGCAACACAGACCAGCAAAACACAGAAACCGGAGGGAUCCUGGCUGACAGGAAAGACUAAUCCCAGGCCUUAGAUUGAUUUAGUGUUAAAAAAUUUCGCAGAUCGCCUGCAAGGUAGACGGUAUACAGAUAUGACCAUUUUCCAGUGAAGAUAACAGAGGUUCUGGAAAGCUAUGGGACUCUAAGUUUACUUAGCUAAUAGGUGGCAAAACUCCCACUCUGCCCACAUUUCCUACAGUCCACGCGGCCUUCCUCCAGACCAGCCUUUCUGCGCUCGGACGGUGAGCGAACAGAGGGAGAUGAAGGUGGGUUAGUUAGGCGUUACACGGCAUGUUCUGUGGUUACUCUCUGAUCCAGUGGGUAGCGGACGCUGUUUUCCUUGCGUAAACCGAGGAGAGAGAAUUCCGUCAGUCACGUGUAGGACGUAUUGGAGGAAGGAAGGAAUCGGUAUCAAGGAGACCAAGAAGAGGGAAUUCCCUGGCAUUCCAGUGGUUGGCACUUGGCACUGUCACUGCGGGGCCCGGUGUUCGAUCCCUGGUUGGGGAAGUGAGAUCCCGCAAUCCCCCAAGCCACACGGUGCGGCCAGAAAAAAAAAAAAAAAAAAAGACCAAGAAGGGACCUGUUAUAAUAAUCUAAUGGCCAUGUGGUAUAGGCCUAUUUUAGGGUAGAAGAAAAAGAAUGAAUAAAAUCAUAAGAUGAUGGAAAAAAGAGCAAGUACCGUAAAGCAGCUUGUUAAUCCACUGAGUCACAAACCUUUUGAGAAGCUGAUGAAAGCUGUGUUCGCCUCCUGCUGAAAAAUGCACAUACAGCUUUGCUUGGAGCUCAGAUCCUACCCUGGCCCCGAGCUGAGACUGAAGAAAGAGGCAGGUGCCAAAAAGACUUCAUCUUGUUGAUCCUGGAGGUCUGGAGACUUCAGAGGGACAGACCUGAGGAACUGGGCUAGGGAACUAUUGCAUGCAUUUGGUUGGCUAUAAUAGCGAAACGUUCCUGGUGGGAAUUAGGCAUAGCAGGGGUUGAAGAUGGUGGUGACUUGGAGGGCUCCUAUUCAGAGAUGAUCACGGAAGCUACAAAAUCAGAUGCUCUUUCUAGGGAAGAGGAUAGAGAGAGCUAAAAGCAAAACCCACAAGGGCUGCAGAAUUGUUUGGAGAAAGAAUAAGUACCAAGAUAGUGCAUUGGAGCCAAGGGAGGAGGUUUUUCAAGAAGGAAAGCCAUGGUCCCCAGUGGUCUUCAUUACUGCAGCCAUGAAGAGGUGUGAAGGUCUGCAAGAGACCCUUGGAUCCAACAGAAACAGUAAGACUCAAAUGGAUUUUUUUUCCCAAAAUGCAGAUGGCCGUAUUAAAUAAAAUGCACCUAUCAGCAGUAGAAAAGCGUACAUAUCAUACUACUCAAUAUAGUGUUUGUUGAGAAAUUCGCUCUGAUUCUGGUGGGCUGGAAUUGUUUGCUGUACCAUCUCAGGUGUCAUCAGGCAGGGUGUUGAGUUGCGUGGAGUUUCAGGGGGCCAGUGCACAGGCAGCUUGGAUAGGAUGCCUCUCAAAUGACCAGUCUGGUGACCUCUGCCGUCCGUGGCAUCAUUUCAUGAUGAUUUCUCCAGAGCUGGUCUUUGGCUGGGAUUCUGCAGAUGGCAGCUCAGGGCAGGGCCCGCGCCCACAGGGACGAGAACGAGAGCCCUUGUGAGCCGAGUGAUGGUGCCUCUUUCCUCUCCCACAGCACAGAGCAUCGGCAGGCAUCUCACCUUGGAGGAGUCCCUUCAGCAACAGAAGCCUGUUCAUCAGGCACCUGAGCGUAAUUGAUCCUGUCCUGUCACUUUAGAUAGUUCUCUGUUCAUUUUUCUGCCCUCCUCGAACAUCUCCCAGUUAUCCUCUGUAGACCUCAGAUUUCAGGGGACAGAAGAUUUUCCAAGACCCUGUGCCACAGCUUCCCUCCACAUGCUGAGUGGAUCACUUGACCCACCAGCGGCUGUGGCCUAUCAGUGACCGUGAGCCGGGUUCCUCUGUCAGUGCUCUCAAGCCGGCAUGGUCAGAUUUCAGUGCCCACCAGAAACCUCCCCGAGAAAGGAUCUCCCCACAGGCUCAUGGGGGCAAAGUCGAUCCCAGCUGUGCUCUGUGCACGCGCAGAGCCAGGGUCUGAGAAGCAGGCGGAACUGGCCAGCAUCGCCUGAGUCGCGGGCCUUCGUGAGAGGCUGAAGGAGCAGCUGCUGCCCUGGAACACUUGCUCUGAAACUCCUGCUCUGAGCCUGCGCACACAGGACCUUGUCCAUGUCUGAUUAACCUGCCUCCACAAGCCCUGCAAGGUAGCAGUGUCCAUCAUUUUGCAGAUGAGGACAUCAGACUGUGACAGAAGUUAGUCACCUUCUCCAUGUCACGUGUCCUUUGGGGCAGACAGGGUGCAGGAAUGCAGAGGCGAGUGAAGCCACAGGUCUGUUCUCCAGAAUCCCCUGUGCAGGACGCCAGGGCUCCUGUAGGGCGGGAUGGGUACAGUCUGAGCAGAGCACUGAGGGGAUGUGCUCAUCCAGAAAGCACCUCGUGCCACGGUCUGAAGGGUAGUUGGGACUCUUCCAAGGUCGAAGAGGUGGAAGGUACGUCACGAGAGGAGAGUAUGGGUGAUCACAGGGACGGAAAUCCAUCCUAAAGGCUGUGGGCUGUGUUGAUCUAUCCUGUUUUCCACUUUCUCUAUUUUAUGAUGCUUUGGCAUCUUGGGGGUCUUGCUGCCUGGGGAGACUCCCAAGCUAGCUCAUCCCUAGAGGAGCAAACAACUCAUCUGUUAGCGCAUCUUUUCGUAUCCAAGCCAACCAACCCCAAACCCCUAUCCUAACUACCUCUUUUCUCUGACUCACAUGCGCCAAGCCAGUAUUCCCCAUGACCCAGAGCCAGGUACUGGGUAACUAGAGAUCAUCUCUUUAGCCCUGGGCUCUGAAAUUUUAAUCACAUCAUUCACUUCUAAACUCACUCGUACCCUGCCUCACCCCUUCCUUUUUGUGAAACCACUAUAAAGGCUCUGGGCUUUGCUCUCUCCUGAGCGCCUCUGCCUCCUAACCAGCCCCUGUGCUUCCCCGUGUGGCCCUGCACACAGCUGCAUGUAACAAAACGCUUUCAAAGGCACAGACCUCUCCGUCUCCUCCCUGUCACCUCUAUGAAUUAAAUCCUGGGGACAUCUCAAGCAUGGGCCAUGACUCUUAGCUUCAGAGUAGGGAGAGAGCCAGUCCCUUCCUGUCUCAUUGUGGCCGAGAGGGGACAGUUGGCCUGCCCAUUUCCUCUCCCUCUAGUGGAAACAGCACCCGUUUUUCCUUGGGGACACUCCUUUGCGCCCUCUCUGCAACUUAGUUUUUAACUUUUCCUUCUUUUCAGUGAAUUAUUACCCCAGAAUUUUUUUUUUUUCCCUGCUGAAAUUAAGCAAACUCCUCACAGACAGCCCCAGAGAGGCUCACUUACUGUAUCGUUUCCCUAUUGCUACUGUUAACAAAUGACUGUGAUCGUUUUUUGUUUUUUUUUUUAACAUUUUAUAUUGGAGUAUAGCCAAUUGACAAUGUUGUGAUAACAAAUUACCAUGAUAUUAGAGGCCCAAACCAUAACCAGUGUACUAUGUUACAGUUCCGGGUGUCGAAGCCUGAAAUUUAGGCGUCAGCAGGGUUUUGCCCUUCCAGAGGCUCCAGGGGAGAACGCGUUUCCUUGCCUUCCUAGGGUCUAGAGUCUGCCUGCAUUCCUUUCUCCACGUCAAAGCCGGCAGCUGAGCCUGUUCAGAUCUCUGACUCUGGCCCUCCAGCCCCCCUCUUAAAAGGACCCUUGGGAUUACUUUGGGCCCACCCAGAUAAUCUCUCCAUCGCAAGAUCCUUAACUUAACCAGCUCUGCAAAGUCCCUUUUGCAAUAUAAGGUAACAUAGUCACAGGUUUCAGGGAUUUAGGAUGUGGACAUUUUGGGGGGCCAUUAUUCUGCCUGCUACACUUACUUAAUUGCCUGGAGGCCCCGUGGCUAAUAGCUGGUGGAACCCAAGACUGGGGACCCUGAGAUGCUUGUCCUUACUGCUCUUCCAGAGCCACGUCUCCAGGGAGGAAUGGCCGCUCUCAUGUAUCCAGUCUACAGAUGAGAGUCAAGUGCCGGCUCUCGUCCGGCCACACAGCUGGAGGAGGGAAAGCGUCCCGCAGCGCAGGGCAGAGUCAUCCCGGCUUUGCUGGUGACUCACAGAAGAAGUGGGGCAGUGCAUUUAGCUCUGCCUUAGGUGCCUUCUUCAAAGAGGAUUCGAACCUUUCUUCCAGAGAUGCUUGGGGAUUUGGCGUCGAUAAAAAAAUACCGUAUUCUUUUUCAGAGGAAAAAGCCCUAGAGAAGUAAAGUAAUCAUAUAAUUAUCUUUUUUUAAUCACUCUGACUAUAACCCCACGUCAGUCUUGUUUUUCCACAAGCCCUCGUGGGCCACGUCCAAUAGUCCUGUCCUGGUGCCAGGCUUAUUUCACCACCAUGGCCACCCUGUGAGAAAACGCAUCAUUUUUUAACAGAUGAAGAAACUGAGGCACGUUGGGGUGAGGCUUGCUAAUCAUUUGCCCAGAACGAACAGUGCGUAAAGUGGCAAAACGAGGAUUUUAAGCAUCAAGUUCAGGACUGCUAUCUCCCGUCCGGCCCUUUGUAGCGAGUGGCUUGCUGUGUAGCCCCAGGAAGGCCGGGCACGCAGUGGGGUUUGAGUCCGAAAAGGCAGGCGUUGAAACGUUGGAACAUUCCAGUUCCUUCCUGAAAAGAGGAGCCUUGCUGAGUCCCGAGCAGCUGUUGCACCGCCUUCUGAAAUGACUCUGCUGGGUUACCGCCGUCAGGGCCCCGCGACACUGCCAUCCUCUCUGGGAAGGCUUCCGUGCCUGCGUGUUCAGGAUGUGGUCCCCAGCAGGCCUGCAUCACGUCUUUCAUCUCUUCUCCCUCCUCUGACCCCUUUAUUUCUUUUGAUAUCACUUUCCCAGCACCUGAGUCUUGCCGGGUUUCCAAAUUCGUGAGCGAAGGAGUUGUGUUUCUGCAGAUUUUUGUAAUCCUUAACAUCUGAUGCUGUCUGCGAGUAAAAAUGUGAAUACUUCUUUCCUUUAUGGGGAUAAAAGUUUGGAAAAUAGAGGAGAGACACGUGAAGCUGUAAGAAAGCGGUACCAUGGGAGCAGGUACUGAGACCAUAGGUGCCCGUGUGAAUGCACAGAACAGGGUAGUCAGACCUUGGCUUCGUGCCAGGCGGGCGGAGCUUGGAGCACAUCCCACUGGAGCGCUAAGCCCCUGCUCUGGCAGAAAGCGGCAUCCUAGGAGGAGACGGGCAGACGCUAUGAGAGGAUAAGCUUGUCUCAGAGGGUGUGUUGAUAAAGGUGAGGAACGUAAGGGCCAGCUCCACUUUGGCUCAGGGUUUCCUCUCCCUGUUGGCGUAUCUGGGAGACACGCUGGAGGGGCAGGGGAAGGGGUGCACAGGUUGGAGCCUCCCACGUAAUGCAAGGUAAUCUUCCUGUCUCAGGAUCCUUAGUCUCACCUCUGCAGAGUCCCCUUUGCCCUGUAAGGUGACAAUAACAAGUUCCGGGGGUAUUAGGACAGGGACAUCAUUGGGGGUUGGAGUGGCAACAGUGGUGAAGCCGGACUGGCUGAACCUUCCUUUCUGCCUAAACCAAUGUUUCUUUCCCUGGAUCCAGGAACCCCAGGUGUCCAGGGCACAGAACCAGCCGCUCUUUUUAAAGUCUAGGGGAGGGGGUCCUGUGUUGGUUUGAAGCUCCGUUUUCCUGGGUGGCAGGUUCUCCUGGGGAGGAAGAUGUUUCUGCUCAGGGGUGCCGGGGAGGACUGGGCCUGCGUCUCCAUUCAAUUAGCCAGAAGUCCUCUAAGGGAACUUCUACAGACUUUGAACGCUGACUUGCAAGUGCUGAUACGACCCAUCUAGGACAUGUGGUACCUCCUUCACCCUCCCCUUUACCCGGAGAACGUUCCCAGCACCUGGCUGGACUUAACAUUCUUCAGCUCGUAGCUCUGUCAGCUGCCACGUCCUGCAUUCUAAACUCCUUGCGAGCAGAAACCCAUCUUCGUGACCACUGUUGGUAGAUGCUGCUUGUUACUGCUUCUGAGGAGAUGCUUGGAAGCCUCUGGAGAAGAUAGACUACGUCUGACCUGUCAAAACCCAGUGUCCAGCUUUCCCUAAGCGUCCAGUCAAUUGGACAGCUCCGAGCACCAGGUCCCUCCCUCGGCCUGUCAACCACAGCGUCGGUGUCAUCAAGAGCGUCAGUAUAUGCCCAGUGCAGGAGAGGGUGUCGAUUCCCUGCGUGGAUCCUAGAACACAGGACACCUUGUACAGGAAGCCUCUACGGCAGACACAUGCAGGCAAACCCAGAACCGCCGAAGAAAAAUAAUGACAAAUCGAAAAAGAUCAGCCGGAAACCCCUGACAGCCAAGAACAAAUAAGGGG